AUGGCGGCGCCGUCGUCCCUCGCCUCCUCCCGCCUCGCCGCCGCCGCCCCGGCGCCGCAGCACCACCACCAGAACCACCAGCUCCGCCUCGGCUGCUCCCGCCGCCGCGCGCAGCGCCUCGUCGCCAUGGCCGGAUCCGGCAAGUUCUUCGUCGGAGGCAACUGGAAGUGCAAUGGAACAAAGGAAUCCAUUACCAAGCUUGUCUCUGAUUUGAAUGCUGCCACACUCGAAAGCGAUGUAGAUGUUGUCGUAGCACCGCCAUUCAUCUAUAUCGACCAGGUGAAGAGUUCACUAACUGACCGUAUUGAGGUGUCUGCUCAAAACACAUGGAUUGGAAAAGGAGGAGCUUUCACUGGAGAGAUCAGUGCGGAGCAGUUGGUGGACAUUGGCUGCCAAUGGGUUAUUCUUGGUCACUCUGAGCGUAGACAUGUUAUCGGUGAAGAUGAUCAGGUAUUUAUUGGGAAGAAGGCUGCAUAUGCCUUGAGUCAAAAUCUUAAGGUUAUGGCAUGCAUAGGAGAACUGUUGGAAGAGAGGGAAGCUGGGAAAACUUUUGAUGUCUGUUUUAAGCAGAUGAAGGCUUUUGCAGAUAAUAUAACAGACUGGAAAAAUGUUGUUAUUGCCUACGAGCCUGUGUGGGCUAUUGGAACCGGAAAGGUUGCUUCUCCAGAGCAAGCUCAAGAAGUUCAUGCCGCUGUCCGUGAUUGGUUAAAAACCAAUGUAUCAGCUGAUGUUGCUUCUACCGUUAGAAUUAUCUACGGAGGUUCCGUAAAUGCAGCAAACUGUGCUGAGCUAGCAAAGAAGGAAGAUAUCGAUGGCUUCCUUGUUGGCGGUGCCUCUUUGAAGGGUCCGGACUUUGCCACCAUCUGCAACUCAGUGACGUCGAAGAAAGUUACGGCCUGA
rnacentral:rRNA from 1 species